rnacentral:lncRNA from 1 species
GCGCGCGCACACACAGACGCGCGCACGUACGCAGUCUCACAUAAACAUACAAAAGUCACAGACACACACACACACACACGCACGCACCCACGCACGCACAGCCCAUCCUUCCUCCAAGGCUCGCGAAUCAUCUCUCCACAAAUCCUGCCUUCGGGGCCGCAGCCUGCAGGCCGACCUCAGUCCGUCCUCACAGAGCCUAGUUGGGUGCACAGCUCUCCCUGACGCGCGAGGAGCAGGUUCACGGGAGUCGGUCGCGCAUCCCCAGCGCCCUGCGGGCCUCGCACCGGCUGUGGCGGUGACCCCGCCCACAGGCUGCAAUGACUUUGUCAUCCGAACAGCAAAUAUGGCAGCCCAUCCCUCACCCAGAAGCUCUGACCCAUCUCAGGCAGGUGCUACACUGUUACCAGUAACUAGCUGGAAUUCCAAAUCUGUGGGUCUUAUCUUGUGAAGUGCCAUGGAAGUGGGAUCCACAAACUGAUGCUGCUCAGCCUCCUGGAUUCAGCCCCCUUCCUAGGGGUAUGCACCAAUCUCCCACCUUGCCUGAGUUGCAGUCAUCUUUGUUGGAUGUCCCAGGGCUGAGGUAUGUAAAGCUCCUGGGACUCUGUUUGUGUCUGAGCAGCUGUUCUACCAAGACUCCACACAGCUCUGUGUGUCAGACCCAAGACCCUGGUGGAGUGGGUUCACAACUGAAUCGCCUGAUGCAAGGGUUGCAAAGAUCUUUGAGAGAAGUGUGGUUUCCUGGGGUUG